AGUCUUUCCUGUGUGUGAUUCAGUACAUUUAGGGUGACCACACACCCUGUUUUGCCCACUGCUGCUCCAGUCCCAUCUGUUCUCUUGAUGUGAUUAUUAACAGCACUCCCUUUAUUCUCAAAAGUGUGACCAAUUAUAUGGUUGCCCAUUAUAUUCAGAGUCACUAGGAGAGAGAUGACAAAGUCACCAAUAAGAGGAUCCACAAAACUGAUUUUAGGGGGAAAAACAAGUCUUUUUUGAAUAUCCAUUGGUUGUCAAAUAGUUUAAAUAGUGGCUUCAGUAUAUAUUCAAAGAUAAAAAUGUACCUAUUCAAAGAUAAGACUGUACUUUUAAUUUUUUAAAUCCUCAUAACUAAGUUUAGCUUAUGGGCAGGACACAUAGUGGACCCUUUAAUAAAACCUUGCUCAGGGUUUUGUUGACUCAUCAAGACGGUCAAAUCAGUCUGCAUAGUUCCACAAGGACGUUGAAAGUUGAAUGUGACAAUAUGCAAGAGGUGCUUUUAGCUCUUGUAAGAAAGAAACUCCAGCAAUCUAAGAGAUUAUCAUUUCAACUGAAAGGCCAUCAAGCAACUUCCCACCAUUCCUUAUUUAUAGCCGUAGAAGCUUUUAGCAAUGCAAAAAUCAACAUCUUUAAUUAGGUCACCCAAGUUCUACAUUUAUGAAGGGAGCCAAUAUGUAAAGAAGAGCUGAUGGGAAUAGUAGCUGUGAAAAACCACAGGUGUCAUGUAACCAUAUGAAGGGAGAGGCCACAGCAGAGCAAAACCAGAGUGACUGACUCCCAGAGGGCUUCCAUUGCAGUCAAUUUGGAGCCUCAGUUUUCUCAUCUGUAAAAAGGAGAGGGUUGAAUCUGACACCCUCAGUUUUUGUCAAACUCCGACAUUUUAUACAACCAGGCUGAAAAAAUACUGAUAAAAAGUAUGUUAACUCAUGGAAAACUAACAGCAUUCAAUGAAGGUCAUUCUGAGAAUAACCCAUAGUUAGGGCAAUAUUUACUCCCAACAUUCCAGUGUAGGCAACCAAAUCAACAAAAUGUGACAUCUAAACCAGGUAAGCAAUCAGAGACUGUCAAAGAAGGAGCCAUGAAACAGUUCUUUUUAGAGCAAAUUAACUGCUGAAAGGCAUGAGAAAGAGACAGAGAAACAGACACUUCAGACCCUGACCUGUACAUCUGUGGGCAUCUGAUGGGGAAGUCUAGGGCAGUUCAUACCCAGAAUAAAGUAAACAGUAAAGUGAGCUUUCCUGCCAGUCUUGCUGACAAAACCGUACAGAUAAAACCACAAGGCUGUUAUUUAAAAGCACAUUGGUAUCACUACGUCUCACGACCUAGAAUGCAAGGUUUUAGAGUCCUCGGAAACCUCCAGAGUUCAGAUUUGGGAAGCACAAUAAGUGGCAUGUUGAGUCGGUCAAAUAUCUUUCAGAAAUAACAUGCUCAAUAUAUUAUUUUGAUUGUACUCACCAUGGGCAUUUUGUGAUUUCAAAAACAGCAUGGGAAUGAAAAUUUAAUGACUUUAAAAGGGUUCACGGGUUAAUAAAAGAAAAAGGGUGGAAAAAUACCAAUGACACCAAUCUUCACGCUCAGAGAAGCAGAGUGAUUUUUCUAAGGUCACCAAGUUAGUUGGUGGCUUAGAUGGAGAGCCAGACAGAAACCAAGAACUUCUGCAAGUGCACACAAUAGGUUAGCAUCACCCAAAUUCUUUCUGGGAAGAACAUAUUUGCAUAAGCAGUCAGACAAUGCGGUUCCUAGUGAGGAUCUUAGGCCUCAACUCUUCCAGGCACCCUUGUUUCUCUCUCUUUGGUGGCAGCCAGCACGCAGUUCAGAAGGCGGCCAGCACUAACAUGUCCUCCCUGGAUCCAGAGCCCCCGCCAGCAGUCCCCACCAGCAGCCCCUGCCAGCAGCAACCAGCUACAUCUUCCUCCACCUGCUGUUUCCUCCAAAAUCCAAUUCUAAAUGGCCAACUCAAUUGUAUGUUCAUGUAGUGAGUGCAGGCAGUGAACUAUUGAUAGCUAUUCAUAAAGUCCCUCAAAAUCCUGCUUGGACCAUUACUGAAUUAAACCAGCAUAUCAAGAAAUGAAGUUCAAACAAUGAGGCUGUCUGAAACACAACCAAGCAUGAGGCACACAGUUCUAUCAAAUUCUGCGUGUGGAGCUGUUCCUUAAUUCUGUGCUCAGUGUUCUUUUGAAAUAUGGGUAGCUUCUGCAAACACAACUCGUCAUUUCCAGGGUGCUGAGACUUGCUUUCGUGGCUCAGUUCCAAGACACAGGAGGCUUAAGAAACCAUUUAUCUUAAACAUUCUCCAAAUAAGCUGCUCUGCACAGUUAACUUGUGACUUGACUGCCCCACCACUAUAUGGUGGCACCAUUUCCAGUGGUGCCAAAGUUGUAAGAAUGACACCACAACCAUAACCCUCAGAAUAUGGACUUACUGGCAAUGUCACGUGGCACUUGUUUCCAGAAGCUCCAUCAGCAUUGAAAUCACAUCCUACGAUGUAAGAAGGGCCUGGAAGUGAGAUAUGCCAAGUUUCCCUGAAUAAAUCAAUCAUAUUCUCUCCUUUCUAUGUCCAUUAGGAAGAGCUGGGUGGUUUCACUUUGUUUCCAUGCCACAGGAUGGGCUAUGUCAUUUUGGAACCCACAUCUACCUGCAGUAAAUAUGCAUAAGCAAAGGAGAAACUCUAACAGGGAGUUUUCACUGUCUGGAAGGAGAAAGACAUGUCAUAAGUUGCCUUCCAUGUUGUGAAAAAAGCAAUUCAAUGCCAUUUCCUAAUCAAUCCCCAGGAAUAAGCACUGAUCUUUAUGUGGAGACUUCUAUAUGUUUUCCUGGAUAAUAACAACUUAACUAAAACAUUUCAUAGUUCAAAACUUCAGUAUUAAAAUCUGUCUACAAUUCAUUCCACUGCCAAAAAUCAACAAGAUUAAAGGGCCUCCAUAUUCAAAUGUGAAGUCAUGUGGUUUUGAAGUUAUGAUCCUGCAUCUUCAUGGUCUAUCAGAUCCAACUAAUGGACAAUCAGUUGCAAACAUUGAAACUUGAGGCAUUUUUCCCUUUUCCAAGCAGCCUACAUUCCGACCUGCUUCUCUAAAACACUAGGAAAAAGAAUGGAGGUGAAAGA